rnacentral:tmRNA from 1 species
GGGGCUGUAUGGUUUUGACAGCAGUUGUGGUGGUUAAGUAAGCAUGUCGGAGGUUGUGCGCUAACUCCGUAAAAACAACGUACAAAUUUAUAAUAAAUGGCAACGAAUCAUCGUUCGCAUUGGCUGCUUAAACGGAAGGUUUAAGCCCCAAUUGUUUCCUCUGAAGCGCAGUUCGGUCGCGUCAGAAUCGAAACACCGGAAAUACCGAAAUCGCAUUAUAGCUCGCCUUUGGCUAUGUGUUAAAUUUUAAAAGGAUAAGGUAUAUCAAGGUUCAGAUUUCUUCCAUUAUAUACUCGAAAACCAAUAGAAAACUAAGCAUGUAGAAAGCUUCUCUGUCCACUGUUUGGACGCGGGUUCGAAACCCGCCAGCUCCACAA